AAAGUUCAGUGAUGAAGCCUGGAAUGAACACAAGGCACAGUGGCACAUCGUUCCUUGUUGCCUUCCUUCUGGGAGAAUA